GAUUGGGGCUAGCAUGAUGAUUCUGUGUGU
rnacentral:piRNA from 1 species